GAAAGGGCAAAAAAGGCUAGAAAAGAACACGGAGCCCCAGAGAAGCCCUUCGCGUCCGGCAGUUUGCCCUCCUGAGAAGAACCGGAAAACCAAAAGGGGCUGUGAGCGAUCCAGAGUGUGGGAGGAAACCUGCAGUGAUGACAAGAGUUCAGACUUUAAAUUCAAGUCCACGAACCUGAAGGUGUGAAGGUUCCCUCGGAGCCGACAUGCCAAUCAAAUAACAACAUGAGAACAUCUGAGCAGAGGCAAUCUCUGUGCAAGCAUUGUCCUGAAGGCAUGAAGAAACUUCCCUCACCACAGGGGUCCAGUAGAGGUUCUCUGGGUUAACACCUUUGUGACUGCAGCUGAUGCAACCAUGAGGACUUGAACAUGGUCAAUUUAGACUCCAUGUCACUGAACUCACCCAGCACAAAGGAUUGAAGUUCUUCUGGAAGUGUGAGUAGAAUUAAUCUUGUACAAAAGCUUCCACCAGAUGUUCCCAACAAACACUGACUGCUCAUCUGGGUCAUCUUGGUCCAUCAGGUAUCCUCCCCAGGCACUGACUUCAACUAACCCUUAAGUGGUGGUCCAGUUGAUUUCCCCACCCCUCAAUGGUCCAAAAUACAUACUCUCUAGACA